UGACGGUAUCAUAUGAAUAAGCACCGGCUAACUCCGUGCCAGCAGCCGCGGUAAUACGGGGGGUGCAAGCGUUACUCGGAAUCACUGGGCGUAAAGAGCAUGUAGGCGGGUGAAUAAGUUGGAAGUGAAAUCCUAUAGCUUAACUAUAGAACUGCUUCCAAAACUGUUCACCUAGAGUAUGGGAGAGGUAGAUGGAAUUUCUGGUGUAGGGGUAAAAUCCGUAGAGAUCAGAAGGAAUACCGAUUGCGAAGGCGAUCUACUGGAACAUUACUGACGCUCAGAUGCGAAAGCGUGGGGAGCAAACAGGAUUAGAUACCCUGGUAGUCCACGCCCUAAACGAUGUACACUAGUUGUUGCUAUACUAGAUAUGGCAGUAAUGCAGUUAACACUUUAAGUGUACCGCCUGGGGAGUACGGUCGCAAGAUUAAAACUCAAAGGAAUAGACGGGGACCCGCACAAGCGGUGGAGCAUGUGGUUUAAUUCGACGAUACGCGAAAAACCUUACCUGGCCUUGACAUAGUAGGAAUCUUUAAGAGAUUAGAGAGUGCUAGCUUGCUAGAACCUACAUACAGGUGCUGCACGGCUGUCGUCAGC
rnacentral:rRNA from 1 species